GGAAAAUAUAAACAUGGCUGAGAAACUGAUAAAAGAUGUUAUAGCUGAGGCUGAUGCGGGGGGUUCCUCCUCCCUUGUGGCUAGGGGUUUCGGUGUGGUACAAGCUGCUGGCACUGUGAACAAGUUCUCAUACAAGUUCCAAAUGAGAAAGUGACUUUGGUCUUCAUCUUAGUUGGUGUAAUCAUAGGUAAAGGUGGGGAGACUAUUAAAAUUCUACAGACAAGAUCAGGGGCACGCAUUCGGGUACUUGAUAUCAUAUGGCCCUGCUUUGAGAUUUGAUACCACAUCUUCCUGAUGGGGACCAAUCUAAAGAAAGGACAGUGCGCGUGGCUGGUGAUAAGAAGCAGAUUGAGAUGGCAAGAGAAAUGAUAAAGGAAGUUAUGAAUCAGGAAAUGGCUCCCCUCCAGCCACUCAUCUCAACUGGACAGUUCUAUUCAGACUUAUGGGGCUCACUACGGAAUUCAUACCGGUAUGGAACAUGUACAGACUGAUCAACUAGGGCAUUAAUGACACGACCAAGUGUAAGCAAGCUUUUAUUGAUCUCCCCAGCUUCCCUCCUCGCUCUUUCCUACAUUGAAAAUUUCUCAGGUGUCAAGUGCUUUCAUGUUACAUUUACUCGUUUGAGAGCACUGGAAAGGCAAAAGAUUAAGGGCAAUAUUGUGAAGCAGAUACUAAUCAACUAGCAAAUCACCAAAAAAGCAAGCAAAAGAUUAAGUGGCAUAUUGUGUAGCAGCUACUUGGAAUUAGGUAGCAAAACACUAGAAAAGCAACAAUAUGUGAUGCAGUGUGGUUAGAUAGGAAGUUCAUGGCACUGGAUUUCGGAGAAAUUCCAUUGUUUUCGCCUUCAAAUUUGGAAAUUUACUACUUUUGAAGUAUUUGACUAGCUGGUUUAGAACUUUAGUCAAAUCUGUUUUGAUCAUAAUUAUUCCAAGAAAUCUCUUUUCUAUUCUAGAUUCAAAUUUUGAGCUCAACUCAAAUUUUCUAUUUUGAUAACUCGUUGAUUAUCUGUAAUCAUGGUGUGAUUAGUAAGUAGUUACUGUAAUUGUGGCUUGGAUUAUGGAGUGGCUAGUAAGCCAUUAAAAAUAGUCAAUUAUUGACCAAGUUUGAUAAAAAUUCAGAAAAGUUUUUCUA